rnacentral:tRNA from 2 species
GCCCGGUUAGCUCAAUCGGUAGAGCGUGAGACUUUUAUUCUAGAGAUCUCAAGGUUGCGGGUUCGACCCCCGCAUCGGGCU